rnacentral:rRNA from 1 species
GAUGAACGCUAGCUACAGGCUUAACACAUGCAAGUCGAGGGGAAACGACAUCGAAAGCUUGCUUUUGAUGGGCGUCGACCGGCGCACGGGUGGGUAACGCGUAUCCAACCUGCCCAUCACUUGGGAAUAACCUUGCGAAAGUAAGACUAAUACCCAAUGACAUCCCACGAAGACAUCUGAAUGGGAUUAAAGAUAUAUCGGUGAUGGAUGGGGAUGCGUCUGAUUAGCUUGUUGGCGGGGUAACGGCCCACCAAGGCAACGAUCAGUAGGGGUUCUGAGAGGAAGGUCCCCCACAUUGGAACUGAGACACGGUCCAAACUCCUACGGGAGGCAGCAGUGAGGAAUAUUGGUCAAUGGGCGAGAGCCUGAACCAGCCAAGUAGCGUGCAGGAUGACGGCCAUAUGGGUUGUAAACUGCUUUUAUAAGGGAAUAAAGUGGGUCUCGUGAGACUUUUUGCAUGUACCUUAUGAAUAAGGACCGGCUAAUUCCGUG